rnacentral:rRNA from 1 species
UACGUAGGCAGCGAGCGUUGUUCGGAGUUACUGGGCGUAAAGGGUGUGUAGGCGGUUGUUUAAGUUUGGUGUGAAAUCUCCCGGCUCAACUGGGAGGGUGCGCCGAAUACUGAAUGACUUGGAGUGUGGGAGAGGUGAGUGGAAUUCCUGGUGUAGCGGUGAAAUGCGUAGAUAUCAGGAGGAACACCGGUGGUGUAGACGGCUCACUGGACCAUAACUGACGCUGAGACACGAAAGCGUGGGUAGCAAGCAGG